CCUACGUGUGGCUGCAGUGAGGAAUAUUGGUCAAUGGGCGUAAGCCUGAACAAGCCAAGUCGCGUGAGGGAUGAAGGUUCUAUGGAUCGUAAAACUCUUUUAUAAGGGAAUAAAGUGCGGGACGUGUCCCGUCUUGUAUGUACCUUAUGAAUAAGGAUCGGCUAACUCCGUGUCAGAAGAAGCGGUAAUACGGAGGAGCCGGUCGUUCUCCGGAUUUAUUGGGUUUAAAGGGUGCGUAGGCGGCCUUUUAAGUCAGCGGUGAAAGUCUGUGGCUCAACCAUGGAAGUGCCGUUGAAACUGGGGGGCUUGAGUAUGUUUGAGGCAGGCGGAAUGCGUGGUGUAGCGGUGAAAGGCUUAGAUAUCCCGCAGAACCCCGAUUGCGAAGGCAGCCUGCCAAGCCAUGACUGACGCUGAUGCACGAAAGCGUGGGGAGCAAACAGGAUUAGAUACCCGAGUAGUC
rnacentral:rRNA from 1 species